AUUGAACGCUGGCGGAAUGCUUUACACAUGCAAGUCGAACGGCAGCACGGACUUCGGUCUGGUGGCGAGUGGCGAACGGGUGAGUAAUGUAUCGGAACGUGCCCAGUCGUGGGGGAUAACGUAGUGAAAAUUAUGCUAAUACCGCAUACGAUCUAUGGAUGUAAGCGGGGGAUCGCAAGACCUCGCGCGAUUGGAGCGGCCGAUCACAGAUCAGGUAGUUGGUGGGGUAAAGGCUCACCAAGCCAACGAUCUGUAGCUGGUCUGAGAGGACGACCAGCCACACUGGAACUGAGACACGGUCCAGACUCCUACGGGAGGCAGCAGUGGGGAAUGUUGGACAAUGGGCGAAAGCCUGAUCCAGCCAUUCCGCGUGCAGGAUGAAGGCCCUCGGGUUGUAAACUGCUUUUGUACAGAACGAAAAGGUUUCUACUAAUACUAGGAGCUCAUGACGGUACUGUAAGAAUAAGCACCGGCUAACUACGUGCCAGCCGCCGCGGUAA
rnacentral:rRNA from 1 species